CACGUAGGCGGGACAGAAAGUCAGAGGUGAAAUCCCAGGGCUCAACCUUGGAACUGCCUUUGAAACUCCUGUUCUUGAGGUCGAGAGAGGUGAGUGGAAUUCCGAGUGUAGAGGUGAAAUUCGUAGAUAUUCGGAGGAACACCAGUGGCGAAGGCGGCUCACUGGCUCGAUACUGACGCUGAGGUGCGAAAGCGUGGGGAGCAAACA
rnacentral:rRNA from 1 species